rnacentral:rRNA from 1 species
UACGAAGGGGGCUAGCGUUGUUCGGAAUCACUGGGCGUAAAGCGCACGCAGGCGGGUCGUUAAGUCAGGGGUGAAAUCCCGAGGCUCAACCUCGGAACUGCCUUUGAUACUGGCGACCUUUGAGUCCGGGAGAGGUGAGUGGAAUUCCUAGUGUAGAGGUGAAAUUCGUAGAUAUUAGGAAGAACACCGGUGGCGAAGGCGGCCCACUGGCUCGAUACUGACGCUGAGGUGCGAAAGCGUGGGGAGCAAACAGG